CCUACUAGACUGAUGAACCGACACCCGGCGAAGCCGCCGGGUGGUGACCCGAGGAGC
rnacentral:ncRNA from 1 species